CUAUUUUCUUAUAAAACAAUAUUUAUAGAGUUAUCGGUAAAUAAUUUUUGUAGCGUAAAAGCUAAAUAAAUUCAUACAUACUGUAAUACAGAUAACCAAAGCAUAAGAUUUAAUUUACAGUGACAUGUGGGCCCAUGAACGACCAAAAGUAUCAAAAGCGAUAAACCUACAGUUUUUGAUGAUGCAAGUCCAACUGUAGCCCUCAACGAAAUGAGCUAUUUAUUGACUAUCCUGAGCCUGAAAUGGGUGGAAAGGAGGGCGGUGAGAUUAUAUAAUCCCAGUGAGUAAACAAAUACCAUCUAAAAUAUCUAAAGCUGAGUAAAUGGAGACAGAUUAAAAUAUAUCAUCAUACUGUAAUUCAUCACCUUUCAACUCAUUUCAACCAAAUAAAAUCAAUUCAUAUAAAUCGAGUAAUCAACAUGGCUUAUGAAUUUCUUAAAAGCUUUGGCUCGUGCCAAAAUCAUUCUCAUACUCGGUUGUCAGGGAUACCUUAGCCUGAGGCUAUCCCAACCGAGUCCACCAAAGCUGUUAAAAAGUCAUGUACGCAUAAAUCAUGUUUUUAUUUUGAAAACAUAGCCGUUCCUUGGCAUUGGCUGAGUUCACCCUCACGUAGUGGUUUGGCGUGAAGUGAACUCUAAAGUUGUACCUCGAGAGUUACCCUACACACCUCUCCGACCGAGGUAAGAAUAUAACAGGAUUACGUGCCUCUCAAAAAGGCUGGUCCACAGAACCUGCCCACUGCAGCAAGCUAAACCCACCAUACAAUAAAAUUUGCGAUAGCAUGACAUGGCAAUUAUUUUAUUUUAUAGCCUCUCAAGGCAAAUCAACAGUUCAUAUAUUUUUAGCACAUUUACCAAUUCAACCAUUCAUGCCAAUAUUAUCAUAAGCCAUUCAAUUCAAACCAUGAUUUAUAACACAACAAUUAGUCUCCAAUUACUCCAUUUUCAAAACCAUCUUUCAAUUUCAAGACAAUUUUAUAAAAUCAUUUCAUUUAAUCACAUUUUGCUUAUAAAACAUAAAGAUUUACCAUUUAAACUCAUUUUUCUAUCAAAUCACAAAAACGAAUAAAAACUACUUUAGAUAAUUAAGACGAUAAUAAGGUUACUCACUGUAAUGGAAAUCGAGUUCCGAGUACUCCAAUUCUUGAUCCUCGGGUACUAUCUCUUUACUUUUGCCAGAAUGCUUACCACCUAGACAUAAUGCAAAAUAAGCCAUUUACUACAUUUGUGCUAAAUUGUUAUAAAACCAAUUCAGGCUUUAUCCUAAUACAUGAAAUGGGAUGUAAAUUGUUCGGAUUAUCUUCUAAACACAAUGUUCUACACAAAUUCAAUUGUGUACCUAAAUAAAACGGUAUUGGCCUAAUUCGAUCUAUCACUCAAUUAAUUGGCCAAUAUGUCCAAUUCAACUCCAAUAAUUCCAUUUUUCUUCCAAUUCUCCAUAUAAUCAAACACAAGUUAAAUAACUUGAAAUAUGGCAAAAUCAUCUUCACAUUUUCUCUUGGGAAUUUCGGCCAUGGUGGGUGCAUCAACACUAUGAUUUUUCCUACCUGAUUUUCUCACCAUAAUUCAUCUUUUCCUAACCAAUUCACUUGAAAUAAAAUCAAAAUCAUCAUCAAUAUUCCACAUGGAGAAUUCAGCCAAUGAGGGUUAUGGAAGAACAUGAAUUUUUCUUACUUGAUUUUCAGGCUACACAUCAUCAAUCAACUAAAAACACUAGAAUAUCUUAAAAUCUAACAAAAACAACCAUCAAAAUAUCUCUCUAAGUGUUCGGCCAGCAAGAGAUUCAUCAUGAUUUCAUGUGAUUCAACCAUGAAAAAUAAGAAAAAAUGCUUAAGAAAGAGAGAUCUCAAGCUUAAUUGAAAAAAAUCUUACCCUUUUCACUUGUUUCCUUGAAUUUUCACACUUUUCCCUUGAAUUUUUCCAUCUAGGGUUUUUGUUCUUCCUUUUCUUCCUUUGCUCUUACUUUGGCCGGCCAU
rnacentral:lncRNA from 1 species